rnacentral:rRNA from 1 species
CCUACGGGAGGCUGCAGUGAGGAAUAUUGGUCAAUGGGCGAGAGCCUGAACCAGCCAAGUCGCGUGAGGGAAGACGGUCCUAUGGAUUGUAAACCUCUUUUGCCGGGGAGCAAAAAGCGGUACGUGUACCGCAUCGAGAGUACCCGGAGAAAAAGCAUCGGCUAACUCCGUGCCAGCAGCCGCGGUAAUACGGAGGGGGCGAGCGUUGUUCGGAGUGACUGGGCGUAAAGAGCACGUAGGCGGUGUUGUAAGUCAUUAGUCAAAGACUAGAGCUCAACUUUAGUAAGGCUAGUGAUACUAUAAUACUAGAGUAUCAGAGAGGAUUGCAGAAUUCCUGGUGUAGCGGUGAAAUGCUUAGAGAUCAUACAGAACACCGAUUGCGAAGGCAGCUUACCAAGCUACUUCUGACGUUGAGGCACGAAAGCGUGGGGAGCAAACAGGAUUAGAUACCCGAGUAGUC